rnacentral:rRNA from 1 species
GACGAACGCUGGCGGCGUGCUUAACACAUGCAAGUCGAACGGUGAAGCGCCUUCCUUUUUGGUGGGUGUGGAUGAGUGGCGAACGGGUGAGUAACACGUGAGUAACCUGCCCCCUUCUUCUGGAUAACCGCAUGAAAGUGUGGCUAAUACGGGAUAUUCUGGGUCUGUCGCAUGAUGGGUCUGGGAAAGAUAUUGUUUCGGUGGGGGAUGGGCUCGCGGCCUAUCAGCUUGUUGGUGGGGUGAUGGCCUACCAAGGCGGUGACGGGUAGCCGGCCUGAGAGGGUGGACGGUCACACUGUGACUGAGACACGGCCCAGACUCCUACGGGAGGCAGCAGUGGGGAAUAUUGCACAAUGGGCGCAAGCCUGAUGCAGCGACGCCGCGUGAGGGAUGGAGGCCUUCGGGUUGUGAACCUCUUUCGCCAGUGAAGCAGGCCUGCCUCGUUUGUGGGUGGGUUGACGGUAGCUGGAGAAGAAGCGCCGGCUAACUACGUG